GACGAACGCUGGCGGCGUGCCUAAUACAUGCAAGUAGGACGCAGUUGCGAACGGGUGAGUAACGCGUAGGUAACUACCUAUUAGAGGGGGAUAACUAUUGGAAACGAUAGCUAAUACCGCAUACUAGUAGAUGGACCUGCGUUGUAUUAGCUAGUAGGUAGGGUAAUGGCCUACCUAGGCAACGAUACAUAGCCGGCGUGGGAGGGUGGUCCGCCACACUGUGUCUGAGGACCGGCCCCGGCUCCUACGGGAUGCAGCAAUAGGGAAUCUUCGGCCAUGGGGGGAACCCUGACCGAGCAACGCCGCGUGAGUGAAGGAGGUUUUCGGAGCGUAAAGCUAUGUUGUUAAGGAAGCGGUACUUACCCAGAAAGGGACGGCUAACUACGUGCCAGCAGCCGCGGUAAUAC
rnacentral:rRNA from 1 species